rnacentral:rRNA from 1 species
GACGAACGCUGGCGGCGUGCUUAACACAUGCAAGUCGAACGGAAAGGCCCUGCUUUUGUGGGGUGCUCGAGUGGCGAACGGGUGAGUAACACGUGAGUAACCUGCCCUUGACUUUGGGAUAACUUCAGGAAACUGGGGCUAAUACCGGAUAGGAGCUCCUGCUGCAUGGUGGGGGUUGGAAAGUUUCGGCGGUUGGGGAUGGACUCCCGGCUUAUCAGCUUGUUGGUGGGGUAGUGGCUUACCAAGGCUUUGACGGGUAGCCGGCCUGAGAGGGUGACCGGCCACAUUGGGAUUGAGAUACGGCCCAGACUCCUACGGGAGGCAGCAGUGGGGAAUAUUGCACAAUGGGCGGAAGCCUGAUGCAGCAACGCCGCGUGCGGGAUGACGGCCUUCGGGUUGUAAACCGCUUUCGCCUGUGACGAAGCGUGAGUGACGGUAAUGGGUAAAGAAGCACCGGCUAACUACGUG